GAUGAACGCUGGCGGCGUGCCUAAUACAUGCAAGUCGAGCGAACAGACGAGGAGCUUGCUCCUUCGACGUUAGCGGCGGACGGGUGAGUAACACGUAGGUAACCUACCUAUAAGACUGGGAUAACUUCGGGAAACCGGAGCUACUACUGGAUAAUAUUUCGAACCGCAUGGUUCGAUAGUGAAAGAUGGCUUUGCUAUCACUUAUAGAUGGACCUGCGCCGUAUUAGCUAGUUGGUAAGGUAACGGCUUACCAAGGCAACGAUACGUAGCCGACCUGAGAGGGUGAUCGGCCACACUGGAACUGAGACACGGUCCAGACUCCUACGGGAGGCAGCAGUAGGGAAUCUUCCGCAAUGGGCGAAAGCCUGACGGAGCAACGCCGCGUGAGUGAUGAAGGUCUUCGGAUCGUAAAACUCUGUUAUUAGGGAAGAACAAACGUGUAAGUAACUGUGCACGUCUUGACGGUACCUAAUCAGAAAGCCACGGCUAACUACGUG
rnacentral:rRNA from 1 species